AUGUGGUUUAAUUCGUAAGCAACGCGAAGAACCUUACCAGGUCUUGACAUCCCCUGACAACCCGAGAGAUCGGGCGUUCCCCUUCGGGGGACAGGGUGACAGGUGGUGCAUGGUUGUCGUCAGCUCGUGUCGUGAGAUGUUGGGUUAAGUCCCGCAACGAGCGCAACCCUCGACCUUAGUUGCCAGCAUUCAGUUGGGCACUCUAAGGUGACUGCCGGCUAAAAGUCGGAGGAGGUGGGGAUGACGUCAAAUCAUCAUGCCCCUUAUGACCUGGGCUACACACGUGCUACAAUGGGCGGUACAAAGGGUCGCGAACCCGCGAGGGGGAGCCAAUCCCAAAAAGCCGCUCUCAGUUCGGAUUGCAGGCUGCAACUCGCCUGCAUGAAGCCGGAAUCGCUAGUAAUCGCGGAUCAGCAUGCCGCGGUGAAUACGUUCCCGGGCCUU
rnacentral:rRNA from 1 species